CUUGAUGGGCGGUUGGUUGACGUUCAUACCGUAGAGGACGGUGCUGUGGUGCAAGGAGGUCAUGGUCAGCUUGUCCUGCUGCUGGAAGGAGUCGUCACUGGAGGAGCUCACUGCGACAUCGUUCAGAGUGCAUUUCAUGGCCUCUGAUUGCCCGAACCAUAUUGUCCCUCCUCCCCGGCUCUGAAGAUCAAGAGCACCACGAUGAUGACUGAUGAACCCACCUUGUGUGAUCGAGGAGGAAGAGGACGAGGAAGAGAGCUGAAGGGGAGUAAGGCCGACAUCGCUGUUAAGCAGUGAGCUUCCAUCGCUGUCAGGCACUCCGCCGGGCACCUGCACCAGGC